GCCGGGGUGGCGGAACUGGUAGACGCGCCUGACUCAAAAUCAGGUUCCUUCGGGAGUGCGAGUUCGAUUCUCGCCCUCGGCACCA
rnacentral:tRNA from 1 species